AUUGAACGCUGGCGGCAUGCUUUACACAUGCAAGUCGAACGGUAACAGGUCUUCGGAUGCUGACGAGUGGCGAACGGGUGAGUAAUACAUCGGAACGUGCCUAGUAGUGGGGGAUAACUACUCGAAAGAGUAGCUAAUACCGCAUGAGAUCUACGGAUGAAAGCAGGGGACCUUCGGGCCUUGGGCUACUAGAGCGGCUGAUGGCAGAUUAGGUAGUUGGUGGGGUAAAGGCUCACCAAGCCUGCGAUCUGUAGCUGGUCUGAGAGGACGACCAGCCACACUGGGACUGAGACACGGCCCAGACUCCUACGGGAGGCAGCAGUGGGGAAUUUUGGACAAUGGGCGAAAGCCUGAUCCAGCAAUGCCGCGUGCAGGAUGAAGGCCCUCGGGUUGUAAACUGCUUUUGUACGGAACGAAAAGCCUGGGGCUAAUAUCCUCGGGUCAUGACGGUACCGUAAGAAUAAGCACCGGCUAACUACGUGCCAGCCGCCGCUGUAAGAC
rnacentral:rRNA from 1 species